rnacentral:rRNA from 1 species
AGAGCGAACGCUGGCGGCAGGCUUAACACAUGCAAGUCGAGCGCCCCGCAAGGGGAGAGGCAGACGGGAGAGUAACACGUGGGAACGUACCUUUCGGUUCGGAACAACCCAGGGAAACUUGGGCUAAUACCGGAUACGUCCGUAAGGAGAAAGAUUUAUCGCCGAAAGAUCGGCCCGCGUCUGAUUAGCUAGUUGGUGAGGUAACGGCUCACCAAGGCGACGAUCAGUAGCUGGUCUGAGAGGAUGAUCAGCCUCACUGGGACUGAGACACGGCCCAGACUCCUACGGGAGGCAGCAGUGGGGAAUAUUGGACAAUGGGCGCAAGCCUGAUCCAGCCAUGCCGCGUGGGUGAUGAAGGCCCUAGGGUUGUAAAGCCCUUUCGGCGGGAAGAUAAUGACGGUACCCGCAGAAGAAGCCCCGGCUAACUUCGUGCCAGCAGCCGC